UACAGAGGGGGCAAGCGUUGUUCGGAAUUACUGGGCGUAAAGGGCGCGUAGGCGGCUGUUCAAGUCGAACGUGAAAACUCGGAGCUCAACUCCGAGCCUGCGUUCGAUACUGGACGGCUAGAGUCUGGUAGGGGGAUCUGGAAUUCCUGGUGUAGCGGUGGAAUGCGCAGAUAUCAGGAGGAACACCGGUGGCGAAGGCGGGAUCCUGGGCCAGUACUGACGCUGAGGAGCGAAAGCGUGGGGAGCAAACAGG
rnacentral:rRNA from 1 species